rnacentral:lncRNA from 1 species
ACGCGUGUCGGAUUUUCCGACACGCGGUCAACUUUUCUCGACACGCGUGUCGAUGCGUGUCCGAAAGGCUGAUGGAGGGUGGAGGCGAGGGAGGGCGAGGGAGCAGAGGCCGCGAGCGCCGGCGAGACGAAGCCGCGACGGCGAGACGAAGCCACGACGGCGAGAGACGGCUAGAGAAAGAGCCGAACAGAGAGAAAGAAGAGAGAAGACAAACUCCCGCCGGCGAG